UACGUAGGGGGCAAGCGUUGUCCGGAAUCAUUGGGCGUAAAGCGCGUGUAGGCGGCCCGGUAAGUCCGCUGUGAAAGUCCAGGGCUCAACCCUGGAAUGCCGGUGGAUACUGUCGGGCUCGAGUCCGGAAGAGGCGAGUGGAAUUCCUGGUGUAGCGGUGAAAUGCGCAGAUAUCAGGAGGAACACCAAUGGCGAAGGCAGCUCGCUGGGACGGUACUGACGCUGAGGCGCGAAAGCGUGGGUAGCAAACAGG
rnacentral:rRNA from 1 species